rnacentral:rRNA from 1 species
CAGGCUUAACACAUGCAAGUCGAGGGGCAGCAUGGUCUUAGCUUGCUAAGGCCGAUGGCGACCGGCGCACGGGUGAGUAACACGUAUCCAACCUGCCGUCUACUCUUGGACAGCCUUCUGAAAGGAAGAUUAAUACAAGAUGGCAUCAUGAGUCCGCAUGUUCACAUGAUUAAAGGUAUUCCGGUAGACGAUGGGGAUGCGUUCCAUUAGAUAGUAGGCGGGGUAACGGCCCACCUAGUCUUCGAUGGAUAGGGGUUCUGAGAGGAAGGUCCCCCACAUUGGAACUGAGACACGGUCCAAACUCCUACGGGAGGCAGCAGUGAGGAAUAUUGGUCAAUGGGCGAGAGCCUGAACCAGCCAAGUAGCGUGAAGGAUGACUGCCCUAUGGGUUGUAAACUUCUUUUAUAAAGGAAUAAAGUCGGGUAUGUGUACCCGUUUGCAUGUACUUUAUGAAUAAGGAUCGGCUAACUCCGUGCCAGCAGCCGCGGUAAUACGGAGGAUCCGAGCGUUAUCCGGAUUUAUUGGGUUUAAAGGGAGCGUAGAUGGAUGUUUAAGUCAGUUGUGAAAGUUUGCGGCUCAACCGUAAAAUUGCAGUUGAUACUGGAUAUCUUGAGUGCAGUUGAGGCAGGCGGAAUUCGUGGUGUAGCGGUGAAAUGCUUAGAUAUCACGAAGAA